UACAGGGGGUGCAAGCGUUGCUCGGAAUCACUGGGCGUAAAGCGAGCGCAGGCGGCCGAUUAAGUCAGAGGUGAAAGCCCGGGGCUCAACCCCGGAAUGGCCUUUGAAACUGGUAGGCUUGAAUGCAGGAGAGGGUCGCGGAAUUCUUGGUGUAGAGGUGAAAUGCGUUGAUAUUGGAAGGAACGCCGGAGGCGAAAGCGGCGCACUGGAUCUCUACUGACGCUGAGGCGCGAAAGCCAGGGGAGCAAACGGG
rnacentral:rRNA from 1 species